GUUAAACAUAGGAUUUGCAGCCACUUUACUUCACCGCUUCAUCAAUCCACUUUCCAAAAGUGCUUCCUACACUUCUCUAUAUUGAUAGCUCGAGAAGCCACCUUCCGAAGUAGAGUGCAUCAUGUUUUCACCAGAUCCUCACCCGAGUUUUGCGAGUGUCAACACAACUGCAGACCCUGUGUGUUCCCCCGUGACUGCCUCCCUCCCUCCCCCCAGUUCACCACAGGCUCCAUGCGUCCAGAUCUCAGACAUGUGGCCGUUGUGCCAUGAGCGUUCUGUGAGGUGGCUGGGAAGCAUAUGGGCUGAAAGGGACAGCACCUCUGGAGUUCCUGGGACAUAAGCUUCAUUGUCCACACCCUGCCCUUCAUGUCACUUAAUGGUUGUUGUCUCUUGAGGGAAAAGGGACUCGAGGUCAGUCCAAUAUCUGUCCGGAUUUAAAUGCAAAGCCUCCCAACCAGGAGGCCCUAACUCAUGCACAACUGGUGGGGUGUGCUCAA